AGGUGGAGGGGUAGAGGGCAGGAGAGGUGGGGAGGAGAGGUGGAGGUGUAGAGGGGAGGAGAGAUGGAGGGGAAGAGGGCAGGAGAGCUGGAGGAGGGGUGGAGGUGUAGAGGGGAGGAGAGGUGGAGGGGCAUAGGGGAGGAGAGAUGGAUGGGUAGAGGGGGAGGAGAGGUGGAGGGGCAUAGGGGAGGAGAGAUGGAGGGGUAGAGGGGAGGAGAGAUGGAGGGGAAGAGGGCAGGUGAGGUGGAGGGGUAGAGGGCAAGAGAGGUAGAGGGGUUGGGGUGAAGAGAGAUAGAGGGGUAGAAGGGUGGAAGAGGGGAGAGGUGAAGGGGCAGAGGAGUAGUGAAAUUGCGGGUCAGAGGGACAGAUGAAUAGAUGGAUAGCAGG
ensembl:lncRNA